rnacentral:rRNA from 1 species
CCUACGGGAGGCAGCAGGGAGGAAUAUUGGUCAAUGGACGAGAGCCUGAACCAGCCAAGUAGCGUGAAGGAUGACGGCCCGACGGGGUGUAAACUUCUUUUAUAAAGGAAUAAAAUGAGGCACGUGUGCCGUUUUGCAUGUACGUUAUGAAUAAGGAUCGGCUAACUCCGUGCCAGCAGCCGCGGUAAUACGGAGGAUCCGAGCGUUCUCCGGAUUUAUUGGGGUUAAAGGGAGCGUAGAUGGGUUGUUAAGUCAGUUGGGUAAGUUUGCGGCUCACCCGUAAAAUUGCAAUUGAUACUGGCAGCCUUGCGUCCAGUUGAGGUCGGCGGAAUUCGUUGUGUAGCGGU